rnacentral:rRNA from 1 species
UGGGGAAUUUUGGACAAUGGGGGAAACCCUGAUCCAGCCAUCCCGCGUGUGCGAUGAAGGCCUCCGGGUUGUAAAGCACUUUUGGCAGGAAAGAAACGUCGCGGGUUAAUACCCCGCGAAACUGACGGUACCUGCAGAAUAAGCACCGGCUAACUACGUGCCAGCAGCCGCGGUAAUACGUAGGGUGCAAGCGUUAAUCGGAAUUACUGGGCGUAAAGCGUGCGCAGGCGGUUCGGAAAGAAAGAUGUGAAAUCCCAGAGCUUAACUUUGGAACUGCAUUUUUAACUACCGGGCUAGAGUGUGUCAGAGGGAGGUGGAAUUCCGCGUGUAGCAGUGAAAUGCGUAGAUAUGCGGAGGAACACCGAUGGCGAAGGCAGCCUCCUGGGAUAACACUGACGCUCAUGCACGAAAGCGUGGGGAGCAAACAGGAUUAGAUACCCUGGUAGUCCACGCCCUAAACGAUGUCAACUAGCUGUUGGGGCCUUCGGGCCUUGGUAGCGCAGCUAACGCGUGAAGUUGACCGCCUGGGGAGUACGGUCGCAAGAUUAAAAACUUAAAUGAAUUG